GACAGCAGCAGCCGCGGGAAUACAGAGGGUGCGAGCGUUAAUCGGAUUUACUGGGCGUAAAGCGUGCGUAGGCGGCUUUUUAAGUCGGAUGUGAAAUCCCUGAGCUUAACUUAGGAAUUGCAUUCGAUACUGGGAAGCUAGAGUAUGGGAGAGGAUGGUAGAAUUCCAGGUGUAGCGGUGAAAUGCGUAGAGAUCUGGAGGAAUACCGAUGGCGAAGGCAGCCAUCUGGCCUAAUACUGACGCUGAGGUACGAAAGCAUGGGGAGCAAACAGGAUUAGAUACCCCUGCAGUCCCUGUCUCUUAUAC
rnacentral:rRNA from 1 species